CCGCGGGCCGGGUGGAGGCGCGACACCGCCGUGUUCCUGUCGGGGCAGACGGUGUCGAUGUUCGGGUCGAUGCUCGUGCA
rnacentral:tRNA from 1 species